AUGGCGAAGAAGGCCGCAAAGCAAGCUGUGGGUGAAGCAAGGGGUCGGGCAUAUGAGGACCUCUACCAACGGGUAGGCACGAAGGAAGGUGAAAGGGACAUCUAUAAGAUGGCUAAUAUCCGGGAGAGGAAGACGAGGGAUAUUGGCCAAAUCAAAUGCAUCAAGGACGGAGCAGGCCAACUCUUGGUGAAGGACGAGGAGAUUAAGCAUAGAUGGCGGGAGUACUUCGACAAGCUGUUCAAUGGGGAGAAUGAGAGUUCUACCAUUGAACUGGACGACUCCUUUGAUGAGACCAGCAUGCAUUUUGUGCGGCGCAUCCAGGAGUCUGAGGUGAAGGAGGCUUUAAAAAGGAUGAAAGGAGGCAAGGCGAUGGGCUCUGAUUGUAUCCUCAUUGAGGUGUGGAAAGGUCUCGAGGACAUAGCGAUAGUAUGGCUAACCAAGGUUUUCAACCUCAUUUUUCGGGCAAACAAGAUGCCAGAAGAAUGGAGAAGGAGUAUAUUAGUACCAAUCUUCAAGAACAAGGGGGAUGUUCAGAGUUGUACUAAUUACCGUGGAAUUAAGCUGAUGAGCCAUACAAUGAAGCUAUGGGAGAGAGUCAUUGAGCACCACUUAAGAAGAAUGACAAGCGUGACCAAAAAUCAGCUUGGUUUCAUGCCUUGGAGGUCGACCAUGGAAGCCAUUUUCUUGGUACGACAACUUAUGGAGAGAUAUAGGGAGCAAAAGAAGGACUUGCAUAUGGUGUUCAUUGACUUGGAGAAGGCCUAUGAUAAGAUACCGCGGAAUGUCAUGUGGUGGGCCUUGGAGAAACACAAAGUUCCAGCAAAGUACAUUACCCUCAUCAAGGACAUGUACGAUAAUGUUGUGACAAGUGUUCGAACAAGUGAUGUCGACACCGAUGACUUCCCGAUUAAGAUAGGUGUCACGACCGGUUUUCCGGGCAUAAAUUUUCAGAAAAGACCGUCGUGCUCAUCAGCCCCAGGAUUACUGUUAGCUGAUGAGGCUCCAAACUUGAUACAGAAAUCUCAAGCAAAAAUACAAAAUAUGUAG
rnacentral:rRNA from 1 species